rnacentral:rRNA from 1 species
UACGUAGGGGGCUAGCGUUGCUCGGAAUCACUGGGCGUAAAGCGCACGUAGGCGGAUUGUUAAGUCAGGGGUGAAAUCCUGGAGCUCAACUCCAGAACUGCCUUUGAUACUGAAGAUCUUGAGUUCGGGAGAGGUGAGUGAACUGCGAGUGUAGAGGGUGAAAUUCGUAGAUAUUCGCAAGAACACCAGUGGCGAAGGCGGCUCACUGGCCCGAUACUGACGCUGAGGCAC